UUUACAAUUAAAAGUAACCUCGAAAAUAAAUUAAGAACAAAACCAUAAAAUCAUUUUAGUAAAAAUAAAAAUAAAAAUAUGUAGUAUAAAUCCAAAUAAAAGUUAUAAUUUAUUUUCAAUAUUUGUUUUCUUAAUUGCUUUAUCUCUCUCCUCGUUGUUUUGAUCAGAAGCCACCGGAUCUACCUUGCAACUCAUCGAACCACCGUUUCAAAACCUAAAGAAAAUCGCUUUCCCUCAUAAUCAAUUUAGCUUACUAGCUCUCGCUCUCUGAUUCACACAUCUCUCUGAUCUCCCCUAAUCCUUGGUUCUUGUUUUUGCGGUGUCUCUAAAGGCAAUCUCCAUAAUAGCAAGUGAAGCAAUGUUGCCAAUGAUGGCGUGGGUAAAAUGAGAGAAUCAUAUAUAGAAAAGGUUAUUUACAUGGAAGCAUUGGAGCUGAUAAAAGGUAAAUGAAUCAAUUUUAUGUUGCAAGUUAUUUCCAACAUCAUCGAGUCUAUGUAGGGUUGUUAAUCACCUCUUCAAUUUUGUGUUUGAAAUUUGAACUAUCUAUUUUAACAUUUCAGAGCAUUGUGGAAGUUUCCAUUCAUGUGUCGACAUCAAUAAGUCAGAAAGUUGUUGCAGUUCCUGUGGUUUUUAUGUUGCUUACAAAUUGUGCUAAGCUUGUAUUGUAUAACCAUAUUUCAUUACCUAUAUAUCCCUGACACUUCACUGUAGUGUUCGACAUAGCUGCAAUGUUUCAGUAUCAGAGUCAUUUUCGGUGUCCAUGUUUUCUAAGUUACCACUACUCGGACUUAUAACUGUGAAUGCGGAUUACUUUGCAGACAGUUUGGAAUUGGAGAGUAUAGUAAUCAGAGAAACUGUGAUUCUUGAACCAGAUUACACGAUUCCAGUUGAGUUUUUAUCGUACUUCCUUGUAUGAGAAGAUUCUUAAAUGUCCUAAAUUAUUGAUAACAUAAAAUUGUUCUAUCAGGUAAAGCUGGUGGGAUAUGAAGUUUAUUCAUAUUGAGUUGCUUAUUUAUAUUUUGUUCAAUGUGUUGUAUGAGAUGUACGAUAUGAAGUUUAUUCAUAUUGAGUUGCUUAUUUAUAUUUUGACUUAUAUAGUAGGAUAUGUGGUUGCAUGAUUGCAAAGAUUGUUGGAAUAGCUACUAAGUUAGCUGCAAGAGUAUAGAUGACAAGGUACACGUGACUUUUUUCUUCUUUUGGUGCAUUUAAUUUUGAACUUUAGUUAAAUCAUUGCUGAAUUUGGAAGUUUGUUGGCAGUAACUGCUCAUGCAAUUGGUUCUCAUGGAUACAAUUUUGGACGUAGCAAAUUGUUUAUGAUGUAUAAGUUUGAGCAAAAGCUACUUUUUGUUUGAAUUCAAAUAUUAGAUCAUAUAGGUUGGAUUUUUUCCCUCUAGCUUGGAGACAAGUUUAUUGCAUAGUAGUAUAAACUAUAAAGUUAUAAUAUGCUAUAACUUUACUUGGUAAUAUAGAGAAAAACAAACUUUUUGUCAUGUCUUGAAUUUGUAGUUUCACAUGGCCAAGUGCGAGAAUAAUAAUAUGUAUAGAGGGACUAAAAUUGGAGAAAUACUUAGUUAACACUUUCUUUAUUAUGAGAAAUAUUUGUGGAUAGUGUCAUAUUUAGUUUUGAAUAUCCGAAUGCAACUUCGGUAGUUUAACAUCAGUUCUGUUGCAGCAGGGUAAAUCAAGUCUCAAACUUUUUUUAAUCCUAUAUCUAGUUUUCCUAACUCAUUAACUCACAAGUCAAAGACUUGGAAUGAAAUUUCAAAACUCUAAAGGAGCCUAUGAUGGCUGCAAUUAUUUAAUAGCUAUUAGUUAUGGUAUAAAAAUCAUCUGAAAAUGUAAAAUUCGUUGGUGAAAAUUACUUGCAAGGAUGAUGAAAACCUAACACCACCCUUAAGGAGUGUUUUUAAUGAGUAAAAAAACAUAGUUAUAUGCAUACCAUGUCUUUGCAAAAGGUGCAUAAAAUGGAAGUGAAAAACUUGAAAGCUCAUAUCAUUUCACUUGGGGACAUUACAAUAGAACUUCUAACAGUGUAGAACUUAUGUCCUAUUAAAGGACUGGUUUAUAGGAAGUUGAAUCUAGAGAAAAAGAUAAACAUUUGGCAUGUUACAGAGUUCCGAUUGAGUUGAUAAAUAAGUGCAUACAAUUUUUAUGUAGGACCACUAUAUAGUUUUUGUCAAAGUUUAUUGCAUAAUUAGUUGUCAACUAUCAUAUUGAUAUGUAUCAUGCAAACUUGUUGCAGGAACUUAGUGAACAUUUAUCUGUCAGCACUUCUACAUCCGUGAUCAUUGACAAGAGUUCUGAUGGGGACUUUUUAUGCAUUGAUUUCAUUUUCAGGCUUGAGCAUGUUUGGCGGGUGAUAGUGCUGCUUUUCACAGGACAUCUUCAUUUGGAGACGAUGUAGUGAUUGUAGCAAACCGUGCUUGUUAGGACAGUUAACAGGCAAUGUUCAUCUGGGCUCCAAGCUGUUGUUGAUGUAGCUGCUGCUACAAGGGCUGGAUUUUAUGACAUUGGUAAAGGGUGGAUCAAUUUUUUUUGUAAUUCUUGACAUGGCGACAUGAUCUAUCGGUUGUUUCUUCCUGUUGGCUUUAUUUUAUCUUGUUUGUGCUCCAAGCUUUAAUGUCAAAGUGCAUGAUGGUCUCUGAUCAUAACUCUAGCUUUUGAAGCAUUAGGAUGGUGAACAUACUCUUCUUAGAAUAUUCUUUGAGAUGAGAAUAAAUAUGUAUC